GUUUAAAGUGGUUACAAACAGCAGAAAUUUUUAAACAGUUACUAGAGCCUAUACAUGUCCUAGGUUUAUUUGAAAACCACACAGUAAGAAGGCCUCAGGUAAAAGGGUUCCCGUGCCUUGCCCCAGUGUCUGUCUGAGUUUAGUUUCCUGCCUCUGGAUCUUUGUGGUCCUUUUUAAUCUCACAGCCUCAUAUUCUUUGAAAUACAUAACUAACAAGAAAAGCAAUAAAGGAAAUACAGCCAGCUCAGAUUCAAUACUUACUAUUGCACCUUUGAAGUAUUUCUUUCAUGUCACUGGGCAUUUUGGGUCUACAUAGGCUGUGGUGCCUCGGCAACAGGAGGACAUGGACUUGUAUGAAUCACAGAUGUGCUCAUGUUUACUACAUCUGGAAGCGGCUUGCUUUCCAUGUAGGCCUCCCAGACAGCACGCAUCCACAUGCCUUUCUUACACACGGACAAUCAACCUUGCUCCAAAAUACCUAAAUGUCACUCACCAAAGUCUUUAAUCUUGCUAAUGAGUGUCCUUAAGAAGGAGUGGGAGGGAGGGCCACACAAAGGACAAACACAUGCAUGACUUAGCCAGUUUUUGAGAGACCAAACCAGUCCUGAAAGUUUAGACAGAUGGGUUCAAAUUAGUGUACAGCGAGGGACUGAAUGGAGAAGCAUGUUGCCUAAGCCAAAGCACUUUUCCUAAAGCGUUGAUGGGCUAGACUGGAAAAUUAAUAAAUGCAUAAGGACAGAAAAGUGCCAUGGGCUUGUGUGGGCUCCCACCAAGGACUGAUUCCAGAAGGGGAAUCUGUCUGCUGGUCACUGUAAUACAAAGGAGCACCAAUAUUAAACCAUGGGAUAUCAGCAAAGAGAUGCUAGUAUACCCAAGGUCAGUGUUUAACACUGACUGCAAAGUCCCCAUCCAGCUUCACAAAGAUCACCCAGAUGAUGACUUCACCCAUUUUUUUUCCUUCAUGGCAGAAGACAACUGCAUCUGAACACUUUCUGAUCUUUAUCCAUGACAUGGUUGAAAGUUGCUACUGUGGGACCCUCUACUUAUUUUCAUCAAAAGUGUCCUUGACCUUUUUUUGUUUGCUUAGGUGUUUUCUUCUUCCUUCCCCCUCCUUUUUCUCCUCUUCCCUUUUUUCCUGCUGCUAUCACUGUUCCUCCUCAAUGUAAAUAUUCAAAAAUUCUAGACCUUCACCCCCAACAACACUUUUCUGUGCAUGACUAUUCCCUGGAGGAGACCAUUCUAAUUGCUGUUGAAUGGUGGACAGAAUCUAUUACCACAGUGAGCACAAUAGUAGAAACACGUUUCAAGGACCAGUAAGUAGACUUGAACAUGGUACCAACUGGAAUUGGUUGUCUGGUGUCAAGAUGAACACUGGGCACAGCAUUAUCAUAGAGUGCUGGUGAGGUUAAGGUCACAGCUCUUUUUGCAUCUUGCAUCUUCAUUCCAUAGCCACAAAGGAAAUAAGAAGGGAGCCAUGUUAGAUUAUUCCAAGACUCUGGGUUUGUGCUUGUCUGUACUGAUUACCCAGAGGAAGUAACAUUUUCCUUUUAAAUGAGAAAUCAGAGAAAAGGUUGGAGCUCCUCUUGUUGAGUCCCACAAUGCAUUUACUUCCCACUCAGUAGGUUGAUAGAAACAGUUAGGACACUUCUUGACCUAGGAAAUUGGUCAACAAAAGAUGAAAAUUUCCUCUUGGGUAGCAAUUUCUCCAUAAUGGAUAUGUAAGUAAUGAAGGCUUUGGGUGCUUUUACAGAUCUGUAAAACACUCAGCUAGCCAAAAGAAAAUACUAAUUUUCUUAAAUCAUGUUACACCCAUACUAACAAGAGAAAAAUGAAAUAAGUCCGAAUCCCAGAAUAAAAUCAUUUCCAGAAUGAAACUGCAUGUGUGAAUUAAAACAGAGAAGUCCUUGCCAGUUAAUUCAGUACAUCUCCAGUUCUUACCAUCAGGAAAAACUGAAGGACAGUGGAUGCCUUUUGGGUUUUUUUAAUUUUUUAAUAUUGCACUUUAUAGUAUUUCAUAAGAGACGAUUGUCUUAAUUAAAGCCAUAAAAUACCAAUAAUGCAUAUAUUCAGGGCUUCUGAAUAUAGUCAAUAAACAGUCCAUGAGUCAUUCUGUAUGUUGUUUGUUGUAAAAUGUUUAUCUGUUCUGUUUUUUAUUAGUUUCAACUACUCUUCUAGACAGUCCUAAUCUACUAAUAAAUUUUUAGGUGUAUAUUUUAAUCAAACUGUUUGAAAAUCAAAGAAAUUCUUUGUUUCACAGAAGCAUUCUUCAUUUUCAAAGUAGCUUGUCGCAUGGUUUCUUUAAGUAGCAAGUUAAACUACCACAAUGAAAAUACUUCCUUUUUAAAAAUCCUAGAUUAUUUUUUUCUGGAAUCCAUUUGCUAUGUAAAGCAUGAUUCAUCCACAUGGAAAUUGAAAUGGAUAGUUAGCAAACAUGCCUGGAAAAAUUAGGAUGUGUUUGUGUUUUUAUAUAAAUAUAUGUUGGGUCUAAGAAGUUCCCUUGUAAAAAUGGCAAACAGAUAUGCAACCUGUUGAUAAUAGCAUAUACCUAAAUUUGUCUAUGUCCCUGGGAGAACAAGUGAGAACAACAGACUCCAUAGUGCAGUGGUGGUUUAUUUCCUAUUCUAUUAAAAUACAGUUUCUGACCAGGAUGGGAAGCUGUUCACACACGUAUAUACACAGAUGUCCCCACAACUAAAACCUUUAAUAUUUCACUUUGUAAUAUAAUUCGCGUGAAAGCUAAUAUAAUGACUAAAAGGCACAAAAUAACCUAGAACAAUCCACCACAACAAGGUAUCUAAAUUGUCUACAUAAGCCCAAGUAUUAAAUUGAACAACCUCAUUAAUCUUAGACUGUAACAGACAGUUGUCCCUAAAGAGAAGGACAUACAGAGGCACUGAUGUUCCUCUAGUACAGGCUGUUUAGGAGCCAAAGGUUCUCAAAGAGUCAGGCUGUCCAUUAAGAAUAGUUUCUGUUGCAUUCUGCAUAGAAUCUAUUGUGGUCCCUGUACCGAGUCGUGUUUUUUUUUUUUUCCAAGUCUCCACAAGCAACAGCUUCCAUCUUCACAAUGCAGACACAGAGAGGUGCAUGAAAAAUAUGAGUUGCAGCCAGGUGUGAUAUCACACCUGCAAUCCCAGAACAGAGGAGGCAGGGACAGGAGGAUUGGAAACUCCUGGCCCACUUUGGCUACAUGAGAUCCUGUCUCAAAAACAGCAAAAAAAGUAAGAGUAACACACACUACCCUCCUGGUUUGAUGAAGCCUUUGCUAGUGUAAAAAAAUUUAUGCAUUUGUUAUUUGCAUAUUUUUAAAACAGAAAAUACUGUUAAUGUUGAUUCUAACAGAGAUAUGUGGCCUACAAGACACAACAUGUCUUUUAAACGGGUUAUGUUUAAAAUAUCAUAAUGUACUCAAAAUCUUCUGCUUUGAAAUGCAAAAUUACUGCCAACUAUACCUUUUUCUUGCACUCGAGCAGAACCUAUGACCCAGAUUUGGUCAUGAUAUUUCACCCAAUAAAUACAUACAACAACUAUGCCACUCAAAAGAAUAAAAGCAGUUUUUCUAGAAUUUUUAAUGAAUAUAUUUUGGAAGGAUCAAAACAUAUCCGAAUGCCAUUUUUGUGAAGGAUCUUUUUAGAGGAGGUCAGGGUCUCACACUGCCUUUGUUUUCCUGGAUGCUAAAGAAACAUCUUAGCCCCUGUCUUCACCCCUCAAGACUCCUUUGGAUGCACUUUAAAGUUGUUUUUUCUCAUUUUAUGUGUUUGUUGUGAGCAGUUUUCGCUGGCUGGCUAGAUAUACAGCGACCCUGUGUCAUUUACUCUGUGACUCUGUCUGUACAUAGCUGGAAUUUGGAUUGCACCUGUACAUAGGCUGUUUGGAGUGGUGUGCUUCGGUCACAUGCUCUCACUCUGAUAAAGGGCAUUCCUCCAUGUUCCACUGUCUGCAUCCUUGUACUUCUACUACUGAUAAUCAACCUCCUGAAUACACUUUAUGUAACUAAGUCUCCUCAGUGUGAAAAUAAUAACAAUAAAACAAUUGACUCCAAAA
rnacentral:lncRNA from 1 species